GACGAACGCUGGCGGCGUGCUUAACACAUGCAAGUCGAGCGGAAAGGCCACUUCGGUGGUACUCGAGCGGCGAACGGGUGAGUAACACGUGAGUAAUCUGCCCCUGGCUUUGGGAUAGCCACCGGAAACGGUGAUUAAUACCGGAUACGACCACUUCUCGCAUGGGAUGGUGGUGGAAAGUUUUUUCGGCCAGGGAUGUGCUCGCGGCCUAUCAGCUUGAUGGUGAGGUAAUUGCUCACCAUGGCUUCGACGGGUAGCCGGCCUGAGAGGGUGACCGGUCACACUGGGACUGAGACACGGCCCAGACUCCUACGGGAGGCAGCAGUGGGGAAUAUAGGACGAUGGGCGGGAGCCUGAUCCAGCAACGCCGCGUGAGGGAUGACGGCCUUCGGGUUGUAAACCUCUUUCAGCAGGGACGAAGCGCAAGUGACGGUACCUGCAGAAGAAGCACCGGCCAACUACGUGCCAGCAGCCGCAGUAA
rnacentral:rRNA from 1 species